rnacentral:rRNA from 1 species
GCCAGACUCCUACGGGAGGCAGCAGUGGGGAAUAUUGCACAAUGGGGGGAACCCUGAUGCAGCGACGCCGCGUGAGUGAAGAAGUAUUUCGGUAUGUAAAGCUCUAUCAGCAGGGAAGAAAAUGACGGUACCUGACUAAGAAGCCCCGGCUAACUACGUGCCAGCAGCCGCGGUAAUACGUAGGGGGCAAGCGUUAUCCGGAUUUACUGGGUGUAAAGGGAGCGUAGACGGCAGAGCAAGUCUGAAGUGAAAGGCCGCGGCCCAACUGCGGGACUGCUUUGGAAACUGCCCGGCUAGAGUGCUGGAGAGGUAAGCGGAAUUCCUAGUGUAGCGGUGAAAUGCGUAGAUAUUAGGAGGAACACCAGUGGCGAAGGCGGCUUACUGGACAGUAACUGACGUUGAGGCUCGAAAGCGUGGGGAGCAAACAGGAUUAGAUGCCCCCGUAUC